GACGAACGCUGGCGGCGUGCCUAAUACAUGCAAGUCGAGCGAAGUUUUUCUGGUGCUUGCACUAGAAAAACUUAGCGGCGAACGGGUGAGUAACACGUAAAGAACCUGCCUCAUAGACUGGGACAACUAUUGGAAACGAUAGCUAAUACCGGAUAACAGUAUUUCUCGCAUGAGAGAUAUUUAAAAGUUGGUUAUGCUAACACUAUGAGAUGGCUUUGCGGUGCAUUAGCUAGUUGGUGGGGUAAAGGCCCACCAAGGCGACGAUGCAUAGCCGACCUGAGAGGGUGAUCGGCCACACGGGGACUGAGACACGGCCCAGACUCCAACGGGAGGCAGCAGUAGGGAAUCUUCCGCAAUGGGCGAAAGCCUGACGGAGCAACGCCGCGUGAGUGAAGAAGGAUUUCGGUUCGUAAAGCUCUGUUGUUAGGGAAGAAUGGAUAUGUAGUAACUAUACAUGUAAGAGACGGUACCUAACCAGAAAGCCACGGCUAACUACGUG
rnacentral:rRNA from 1 species